UACGAAGGGGGCUAGCGUUGCUCGGAAUCACUGGGCGUAAAGCGCACGUAGGCGGACUCUUAAGUCAGGGGUGAAAUCCUGGAGCUCAACUCCAGAACUGCCUUUGAUACUGGGAGUCUUGAGUUCGGGAGAGGUGAGUGGAACUGCGAGUGUAGAGGUGAAAUUCGUAGAUAUUCGCAAGAACACCAGUGGCGAAGGCGGCUCACUGGCCCGAUACUGACGCUGAGGUGCGAAAGCGUGGGGAGCAAGCAGG
rnacentral:rRNA from 1 species